rnacentral:rRNA from 1 species
CUACGUGCCAGCAGCCGCGGUAAUACGGAAGGUCCGGGCGUUAUCCGGAUUUAUUGGGUUUAAAGGGAGCGUAGGCUGGAGAUUAAGUGUGUUGUGAAAUGUAGACGCUCAACGUCUGAAUUGCAGCGCAUACUGGUUUCCUUGAGUACGCACAACGUUGGCGGAAUUCGUCGUGUAGCGGUGAAAUGCUUAGAUAUGACGAAGAACUCCGAUUGCGAAGGCAGCUUACGGGAGCACAACUGACGCUGAAGCUCGAAGGUGCGGGUAUCAAACAGGAUUAGAUACCCUGGUAGUCCGCACAGUAAACGAUGGAUGCCCGUUGUUAGUUCACUUAAGAAUUAGCGACCAAGCGAAAGCAUUAAGCAUCCCACCUGGGGAGUACGCCGGCAACGGUGAAACUCAAAGGAAUUGACGGGGGCCCGCACAAGCGGAGGAACAUGUGGUUUAAUUCGAUGAUACGCGAGGAACCUUACCCGGGCUUGAAUUGCAGACGAACGAUUCAGAGAUGA